rnacentral:lncRNA from 1 species
CUCCUUGCAUGACAUUUCUCAGAUCUGAACAAGACAUUGGAACAAGUAAAGCAUGACUAUCACUUCAGCUUCUGUUUAUCUCCUCCUCAUUGGACCUUCCUGUGGACUUACCAGAACUCUAUCAAACAGUAUCACAAUAUCUACCUUUGCAUCCGGUAAAAGUGGGGGUCACAUUAAGACUGGCUGAAAUUCCAGCUUAUGAAAUAUACUGAGGUUUCAGAGCCUGUUCCAACAUGAACAAAACCAAUAUCAUCUGUAUUACAUGCAUGAAGAAACCAAACCUAUUCCAGGAGACCAAUAGGAAUUUUUUCUGUAACCUACAGAUUAGUAGCUCACCUUGGGAAAAAAGAGAGCCAUACUCAGCUCCCCUCAGAGAAUCAGGCAUUUGAAUUUGAGCUUAGCUCCUUCCAGAUGGACAGCAACUUCAGAGCCAUGCAAUGCAACAGCUAUGGAGGAAUCAAGUAAGCUCAUAAAGUGUUGGCUCACACAAGUCAGGGGAAGCAGGAGCUAAGGUUCGAGUAGUCUGCUGCUCCCUGAGGCAGUUCCUCCGAAGACACAAGAGAUGCAGCAGCCUUCCAACAAACAACAAGCACCUGGAUUUGGCCUCAGAACAAGCACUUCAGAUUUGGCCAGCCUGUACACUCAACUGUUAAAACAGCAUCAAAACCCCACGCAUCACUGGAUGAAAUCUUAUCGAUUUUUGUAUGAUUUUUUAUGGUUACAAAGAUAAGCAUUUGGCUCUGCCUUUCUACUAUUCAGUAUCUAAAAAGUUAUAUUCCUG